rnacentral:lncRNA from 1 species
AUCACCAGAAAACUCAAUCAUCAAUACUAAAAAUCCUCACACUUCAUCCACUUGACAAAAACAACAAUCACACCAAUUUUUAUUUCAUUAACAAAUCCAUUUGGAUUUUUUUUUUCUCUUGGACGACAAUUCAUCUCAUCUAUCGAAGAUUAGGCUCAUCGCUGCCUCAUCACCGCAAUCACCAACACAUCAAGUACCAAAAUUAGAACUUGACAUACUAACAUGAAUCUUGGACCCGAAAAUUAAAAUCAAAGACAAAUAAGCACAUAAUACAGAAAGGAUCCUCUUCAAAUUUACACUAGUGUGCUCCAUCUCAAUGGCUUGUAAA